CGAGUGGCGGACGGGUGAGUAACGCGUGAGCAACCUGUCCCAGACAGGGGGAUAACGACUUGGAAACAGGUGCUAAUACCGCAUAAGACCACGGGGUCACAUGGCCCAGGGGUAAAAGGAGCAAUCCGGUUUGGGUGGGCUCGCGUCCGAUUAGAUAGUUGGUGAGGUAACGGCCCACCAAGUCGACGAUCGGUAGCCGACCUGAGAGGGUGAUCGGCCACAUUGGAACUGAGAGACGGGUCCAAACUCCUACGGGAGGCAGCAGUGGGGAAUAUUGGGCAAUGGGCCGAAAGCCUGACCCAGCAACGCCGCGUGAGUGAAGAAGGCCUUCGGGUUGUAAAGCUCUGUUAUAGGGGACGAAGGAAGUGACGGUACCCUAUAAGGAAGCCCCGGCUAACUACGUGCCAGCCGCGGC
rnacentral:rRNA from 1 species